GAGGGUGUAGCUCAAUGGUAGAGCAUUUGCCAAGCAUGUGUAUGACCCUGGGUUCAAUCCCCAGGACCUUGG
rnacentral:tRNA from 1 species